GAUGAACGCUGGCGGCGUGCCUAAUACAUGCAAGUCGAGCGAACAGACGAGAGUGCUUGCACUCUCUGACGUUAGCGGCGGACGGGUGAGUAACACGUGGGUAACCUACCGAUAAGACUGGGAUAACUUCGGGAAACCGGAGCUAAUACCGGAUAAGAUUGAGAUUCGCAUGAAGCAAUAGUGAAAGACGGUCCUGCUGUCACGUAUAGAUGGACCCGCGGUGUAUUAGCUAGUUGGUGAGGUAACGGCUCACCAAGGCAACGAUACAUAGCCGACCUGAGAGGGUGAUCGGCCACACUGGAACUGAGACACGGCCCAGACUCCUACGGGAGGCAGCAGUAGGGAAUCUUCCGCAAUGGACGAAAGUCUGACGGAGCCAUGCCGCGUGAGUGAAGAAGGUUUUCGGAUCGUAAAACUCUGUUGUAAGGGAAGAACAAGUACGUUAGUAACUGAACGUACCUUGACGGUACCUUACCAGAAAGCCACGGCUAACUACGUG
rnacentral:rRNA from 1 species